UACGGAGGGUGCAAGCGUUAAUCGGAAUUACUGGGCGUAAAGCGCACGCAGGCGGCUUGUUAAGUCAGAUGUGAAAUCCCCGAGCUUAACUUGGGAACUGCAUUUGAAACUGGCAAGCUAGAGUCUUGUAGAGGGGGGUAGAAUUCCAGGUGUAGCGGUGAAAUGCGUAGAGAUCUGGAGGAAUACCGGUGGCGAAGGCGGCCCCCUGGACAAAGACUGACGCUCAGGUGCGAAAGCGUGGGGAGCAAACAGG
rnacentral:rRNA from 1 species